AUUGUCCAAGGUGAUACUCAUUAACGUUGUAAAGUUAUUUGACGACUAAUCUUCUGAUUGGUAACACAACGGCGAUUACUCUCG
rnacentral:RNase_MRP_RNA from 1 species